rnacentral:rRNA from 1 species
UACGGAGGGAGCUAGCGUUGUUCGGAAUUACUGGGCGUAAAGCGCACGUAGGCGGCUUUGUAAGUUAGGGGUGAAAUCCCGGGGCUCAACUCCGGAACUGCCUCUAAGACUGCAUCGCUCGAAUCCGGGAGAGGUGAGUGGAAUUCCGAGUGUAGAGGUGAAAUUCGUAGAUAUUCGGAAGAACACCAGUGGCGAAGGCGGCUCACUGGACCGGCAUUGACGCUGAGGUGCGAAAGCGUGGGGAGCAAACAGGAUUAGAUACCCCAGUAGUCC